CAUGUUUAGAGCUUGUCUGAAAAACACAUUGUUGUUGACGCUACAGUAAUAAAACAGAGAUUUCUCGACCAGAACAGCGAUCUGUGGAUGUGUGUGUGUCUAUACUAUCGGCGGAUCCUAACCCGUAGGACACGCUACAAUAUCAUCCCAGAAUAUAAAAACCCAUGGUGUGGUCGUCAUCAUCCUGUUUUAUGCUCGUCAUGUGGAGGUUCGCCCGGCCCUAGCUCCGUGCAUGAGACGCAUCUUCCCAUGAUGCACCCCGGCAAGUCAACAGAUGCUGAAAUGGUUUCUACUACGGCGCAUACUCGGCAGUCAUCAGGGCCAACUGCCGAUUUGUAUAUGUCCAUUACAACACCACAAUACGAAUUGCGCAUGAGGCAGAUUUGGGCAUGCCCCUCAGAAAAAGGAAAAAAAAAACAAAGAAAAAGAUAAAAGCCUAAUUUGUUUGCACAAUUUGUUUUUCUUGUGUGGCCUUAAAAAAGGAACACGGCAUAGCGUGUUAGUUGAUAUUGUGUGUAGGCCUACAAUUUUUUCACAAAAGCAAAAUUGAUAAAAUUUAGUCAGUAGUUUCAAAUGAUCUUUUUGCAGUAGUUAUAUUUUGCAAAGAGGUCUUCGGGGGAUAGGUUUCGCAAUGAAAUAAAGCUCUUGAAUACAUGAUAAGGUUUGAUGUGGAAUUUGGUGAGUGGUCAGUACCAUUUUCUUGAAUUCAUAGUGUGACAUAAUACAUUUGCGCCGAGAUGACAUUGUUUCAUUAAAUAUUACCAUCUUUAUAUCACGUCGGAGCAAUUUAACCUCCAGAAUUUCCUUUCGUUUUGAUUAUGUGGACCAGGUCUCCUAUGCUUUCUGAGGUCUACUGCAGAAUGCAGAGUUGUUGAUUAUUUUGAUUUAAUCCCACAUUCUUGCAGGAAAUCAAAAACAAGGUGUUCUGUUAGCAAAGUGUCAACUUAGCAUGCUUUAUGUACUCGAAUCGUUCCUACAUUUUGGCCAAAUUAACGGUUCAAGCUAUGGCGAGUCUGGUUUAAAAAUUAAACAAUUUACAAUAUUAAUAUAAUAAGCUACGCAAUUUUCUCGCCUUUUUAUGGUUUCCUUCUACGGAUAGAUGUCCGACACGUCACAGUUUCCACGAUGGGACAAUUUUCUCGUGACUUGUAGUGAACCCCUUCUUUCAGCAGAACCAAUUUUGUGUUCCGUCUUGUCGGAAAAUUGUGGGGGGGGUUGUCAAUUUGGCAGAACUGGCCAUGCUCACGUUGAAAGAGAACACUAAAUAAUAUUUUUUUUAAAAUUCCAGUAGCUUCACUUUAGAAAAAAUUAAAGUUCGUUUCCAUUCUGACUGAAAAUAAAUUUACUGGGAUUUUGAUAAAACCAGAUUGAAAA